UACGAAGGGUGCAAACGUUGCUCGGAAUUAUUGGGCGUAAAGCGCACGUAGGCGGCUCUGCAAGUCGGAUGUGAAAGCCCACGGCUCAACCGUGGAAGUGCAUUCGAAAACUGCAGGGCUAGAGUCCUGGAGAGGAAGGUGGAAUGCUUGGUGUAGAGGUGAAAUGCGUAGAUAUCGGGAGGAACACCAGUGGCGAAGGCGGCGAUCUGGGAAGAUACUGACGCUGAGGUGCGAAAGCGUGGGGAGCAAACAGG
rnacentral:rRNA from 1 species